rnacentral:lncRNA from 1 species
UAUCAAGAUUGUGGCGUGCCACUGAUGAAAAUGACAUUCCACUGUCUGAAUUAUUGUAUCCUUCGUUCUGUGGAUCUUCGUCUUCAUCUGAAAGUCUGAAAUUACUGGCUUCAUCUUUUUCUUUUUGAUCUGGGCAUUCUGAAAUUUUUUUCUCUUCUCCAUGGUUCUUUUUUAAGAUUGUCUCAAAUGCUUGAUUGACUGCUUCUCUAAUUUGUUCUUUUAAUCCUUCAUCAUUUUUCUUCUUCUUAAUCUUUUUCUUUUUUCUGGAAGAAAUUCCU